UGCAGUCGAACGGUAGCACAGAGAGCUUGCUCUCGGGUGACGAGUGGCGGACGGGAGAGUAAUGUCUGGGAAACUGCCUGAUGGAGGGGGAUAACUACUGGAAACGGUAGCUAAUACCGCAUAACGUCGCAAGACCAAAGAGGGGGACCUUCGGGCCUCUUGCCAUCAGAUGUGCCCAGAUGGGAUUAGCUAGUAGGUGGGGUAACGGCUCACCUAGGCGACGAUCCCUAGCUGGUCUGAGAGGAUGACCAGCCACACUGGAACUGAGACACGGUCCAGACUCCUACGGGAGGCAGCAGUGGGGAAUAUUGCACAAUGGGCGCAAGCCUGAUGCAGCCAUGCCGCGUGUAUGAAGAAGGCCUUCGGGUUGUAAAGUACUUUCAGCGGGGAGGAAGGCAGUAAGGUUAAUAACCUUGUCCAUUGACGUUACCCGCAGAAGAAGCACCGGCUAACUCCGUGCCAGCAGCCGCGGUAAUACGGAGGGUGCAAGCGUUAAUCGGAAUUACUGGGCGUAAAGCGCACGCAGGCGGUCUGUCAAGUCGGAUGUGAAAUCCCCGGGCUCAACCUGGGAACUGCAUUCGAAACUGGCAGGCUGGAGUC
rnacentral:rRNA from 1 species